GUUUUUCUCUGGUUUAACCAGAAAUCGUUAUUAAUUUAAUUCUCUUAUUUUGUAACCGAUUUACAUAAUUUUCUAACAAUUGUAAUAAUUAACGAUGAUUUAAAGUAUAAAGAUGUUACCUUGAUAAAAAUUUAUUCCAAAAUUAGUUAACAUACUUUGACCUGAUUUAUGUACCUGAACUUUUACCACUGAUUGGAUUGUGGUAAUUUCAAUAUUAAAUGGACUUUGUCUGAUCCCAGGUAGUAGAUGAGAGAGAGAGAGAGAGAGAAAUGAGUUUUUGUAGAAGUCAAAAAUUUAUGAUAAUCACUAAAUGAUGAUCACUUAAAGAUUAUCAUCACCACUGUAAGGUCUCCUUAUUUUCUCUUUUUCUCUUCUUCAUCUUUCUACCUUCUUCUUCUUCUUCUGUAUAUUUACUACACAAAAUGUCCAACUGUUAACUGUUUUUCUCUUUGUCACCAGGAGGGCAACAAAGAAAGAGAGAAAUGUCCCGCUCUCUAACAACCAAUAAAUACCUUGGUUUCUUUUCUACUGGUAAAUAGAUAAGGCCUUAAGCUGGAAAAUGUGUUAAGCUGAGUUUUUGGUUACCAGAGUGGCAGAGUAACACACACACAGAGUCUAUUGGUUAUUUUCCUUGGCUAUUCAAGUUUAUACCGAAUCUACUACUAUACCAACAAGUAUCCAAGCGGGAGAAAUUUUUUGCUGGCCUUUUUUGUUGCAGUUGAGAAGAACAACUUUUUCUUUCUUAUCCUUAUCUUCAGUGAAGAUAUUAUAAUAAUACCUCUGUUGUUGCUCUUCUUGUACACAUUGAGAGAGAGAGAGAGAGGAAGAUGAAAAAAGCCUAACCAGCUAGGGAAACAAAAAAAAAGAUGAAGACAAAAAAUACCAUUGGAAAAACACUGUUGACUGGUUGGUAAAGGUUAACGAUAAACUAUGUGUCUAGGCCUCAAGUAUUGGAAAGGAAAAGAAGGAGGAAAAAAGAUGCUGAAAAAGUUACAAUAACUAAGAGAUCAUUGUUAAUUGUCAUCUAUCUGUCUUGGUAAACAUCAUUUUUUAUUACAUCUCCUAAUGGAAGACACAAUUUUACCUUACAAUCUACACUUGCUUCAUCAUCAUAAUCACCAUCAUCAACGACACAAGAAACAACAACAACAACAGUAACAAUAACGUAAAUGCCUGUUAGAUGAAUGGAACCUCCAUGAAAGUUACAUACAGCAAAAAUUACACAGACAACAAUGGAUUUCACUCUUAAUUGUUAAAAGCAAGAAAACAAAUGAUUUUGAUAAUAUGUAUUUCACAGCAGCAGUUAUCAACAACAUCUACACCACCUCUAUCACCAUCACCACCGCCAACAAGCUUCUUCAUUUUUCUUCUUACGGAUGGAACCUUGUAGUUUAUGCAUUAUUUACGUUUGACUUCGCAGUAAUUACAUAUGUAAUUAAUUAAAUGAUUAUCUACACUUUUUGGUAAAAGCCUUUUUCCAAAAACUUACAACGAGGCAGCGAGAGGCAAAAAAAACAACAACUACUCAUGAUAAAGAUGAACAUCAUCCAGCAAACAAACAAAAAACAUCUCAAUAUUAAUACAUAAUGUAUAUAAAUGAUAUUGACGCCUUAAUGAACCUGGAAAAAUUGAUUAAUUGUUAAUUGGCAGCAAACAUCGUCUUCACUAUCGUAACACCAAUAUAACAGAUCAAGAUUAUUACAUCGUUGUUAAGCUGAUCAUUAAUUUUACAUUAUUGUCUCAUCAUCGGCUUAAUGAAGUGAAAAAAAAGUAAAUUUUCAUUUCAAAAUCAUCACUUGUUACUAUUCAUGAUAUUUUAAUUACAAUUAAUUCACGGCCAACAAAAUCACAAUCAAAUGAAUUAUAUAAAAUGAAAGAUGAUCACCCAUCACACGUUUUACCGAUCAAAUUGAUGAUAGGAAACAAUUUAAACCAUUUGGAUUAAACUGCUCACAAUCAAGUAGAUAAAUCAUCACAGUAAAUCCAAUAGGAGGAAGCAACACAACAUAGACAACAAUCAAUUGGAAUCAACAGAUUUACCUACAAUUCUGGUUUUUUUUUAUCGAGUAUCUUUCAACCUUUUACCAUGAAUAUCACAAUUUAACUUACAAUUAAAGCCUGAAGACAAAUUGAUGCCAAGGCAAAAAAAGUGAGAGAGAGGGAAAAAAUUACCCUUUUAAUGAUCAACAUUUGAUUAGUUGAUUGUGACAAACAAAAUUAUAAUCGUAACAAUCAACAAUUAACAUGAUAAUGAUUAUAAUGAAACUUGGAUCAAUAUCAAUAUGUUUAAUUGAAUUGGAUGGAUAACAAUCAAGACCAAAUGGAUGAUAAUUAUGAUUAUGAUGAUGAUAAAGAUGAUAAAUCUUUUUCAGGUCAAUAAACAUUGGAGUUAAUAUCAUGUGA